GACGAACGCUGGCGGCGUGCUUAACACAUGCAAGUCGAACGGAAAGGCCCUGCAUUUGUGGGGUGCUCGAGUGGCGAACGGGUGAGUAACACGUGAGUAACCUGCCCUUGACUUUGGGAUAACUUCAGGAAACUGGGGCUAAUACCGGAUAGGAGCUCCUGCUGCAGGUUGGGGGAUGGAAAGCUUCGGCGGUUGGGGAUGGACUCGCGGCUGAUCAGCUUGGUGGUGGGGUAGUGGCUUACCAAGGCUUUGCCGGGUAGUCCGCCUGAGAGGGUCACCGGCCACAUUCGGACUGAGAUACGGCCGCGCGUCCUACGGGGGAGAACAGUGGGAAAUACUCCGUCAUGGGCGGAAGCCUGAUGACGAACCGCGGGGUGCGGCAUAGCAGCAUUCGGGUUGUCAACCGCUUUCGCCUGUGACGCAGCGUGAGUGACGGUAAUGGGCAAAGAAGCACCGGCUAACUACGUG
rnacentral:rRNA from 1 species